UACGGAGGGUGCAAGCGUUAUCCGGAUUCACUGGGUUUAAAGGGUGUGUAGGCGGGCUGUUAAGUCAGUGGUGAAAUCUCAAGGCUCAACCUUGAAACUGCCAUUGAUACUAUCAGUCUUGAAUUUUGUUGAGGUAGGCGGAAUAUGUCAUGUAGCGGUGAAAUGCUUAGAUAUGACAUAGAACACCGAUUGCGAAGGCAGCUUACUAAGCAAAUAUUGACGCUGAGGCACGAAAGCGUGGGGAUCAAACAGG
rnacentral:rRNA from 1 species